CUUCCUUCACCUGUUGUAGUUGGCACUGUCUACUGUGACACAUGUUUUCAACAAGCUUUCUCUCUAAACAGCCACUUCAUUUCAGGUAAUCCAUUUCAACCUCAAAAGGGUACUUCAAUUUUAUAUCUCUUAAAAUGUUGUAAAAUUUUUCUAAACCUUAUCAUAUUUUAUUUUGUCCUUGUUUUUAUGUAUAGGUGCAUCAAUAGCUGUUGAAUGCAAAAUAGGAAAAACAAAACCAAGAUUCUAUAAAGAAGUGAAAACAAAUGAACAUGGAGAAUUCAAAGUGAAACUACCUUUCUUAGUGAAGAAACAUGUGAAGAGAAUCAAAGGGUGUAAUUUUAAGUUGUUAAGUAGUAAUGAACCAAAUUGUGCUAUAGCCUCAACUUCUACUUCAUCUUCACUAAGCCUAAAGAAAAAGUUGCAACAAGAACACAUUUUUUCAGCUGGGAUUUUCUCAUUCAAGCCUAUAAAAAAACCAAAAUUUUGUGACAAAAAACAUAGUAUUCAUAACCUUAAGAAACAACAUAGUUAUGUGAAAAAUUUGGAACAAUCAAAAUUUUCAAGCAAAAAUAAAGUACCUAAUGAAGUUGAAGAUUUCUUCUUUUUUCCUCCAAACCCUUUUUUUCCACCACCUAUUAUCCCUAAUCCACUUCAACCUCCACCUUUGAUUCCUAACCCUUUGCAACCACCACCUUUGAUUCCAAAUCCAUUUCAACCACCAAGUCCACCCUUGAUUCCUAAUCCAUUUCAACCACCAAGUCCACCACUUAUUCCAAAUCCAUUUCAACCUCCUCCAUCAAAUCCACCACUUAUUCCUAAUCCAUUUCAACCUCCCCCAGCAAGUCCUCCACCACUCAUUCCAAAUCCAUUUCAGCCUCCACCAUCAAGUCCACCACCAUCAUUUCCUUUUCCACCAAUAGUAAUACCAGGUUUAACUCCAUCACCACCGCCGCCG
rnacentral:lncRNA from 1 species